AACUGCGAAUGGCUCAUUAAAUCAGUUAUCGUUUAUUUGAUAGUACCUUACUACUUGGAUAACCGUGGUAAUUCUAGAGCUAAUACAUGCUGAAAACCCCAACUUCGGGAGGGGUGUAUUUAUUAGAUAAAAAACCAACGCCCUUCGGGGCUUCUUGGUGAUUCAUGAUAACUUUACGGAUCGCAUGGCCUUGCGCCGGCGACGGUUCAUUCAAAUUUCUGCCCUAUCAACUUUCGAUGGUAAGGUAUUGGCUUACCAUGGUUUCAACGGGUAACGGGGAAUUAGGGUUCGAUUCCGGAGAGGGAGCCUGAGAAACGGCUACCACAUCCAAGGAAGGCAGCAGGCGCGCAAAUUACCCAAUCCCGACACGGGGAGGUAGUGACAAUAAAUACUGAUACAGGGCUCUUUUGGGUCUUGUAAUUGGAAUGAGUACAAUUUAAACCUCUUAACGAGGAACAAUUGGAGGGCAAGUCUGGUGCCAGCAGCCGCGGUAAUUCCAGCUCCAAUAGCGUAUAUUAAAGUUGUUGCAGUUAAAAAGCUCGUAGUUGAACCUUGGGUCUGGCUGGCAGGUCCGCCUCACCGCGUGUACUUGUCCGGCCGGGCCUUCCUUCUGGAGAACCUCAUGCCCUUCACUGGGCGUGUUGGGGACCAGGACUUUUACUUUGAAAAAAUUAGAGUGUUCAAAGCAGGCCUUUGCUCGAAUACGUUAGCAUGGAAUAAUAGAAUAGGACGUGCGGUCCUAUUUUGUUGGUUUCUAGGACCGCCGUAAUGAUUAAUAGGGACAGUCGGGGGCAUCAGUAUUCAAUUGUCAGAGGUGAAAUUCUUGGAUUUAUUGAAGACUAACUACUGCGAAAGCAUUUGCCAAGGAUGUUUUCAUUAAUCAGUGAACGAAAGUUAGGGGAUCGAAGACGAUCAGAUACCGUCGUAGUCUUAACCGUAAACUAUGCCGA
rnacentral:rRNA from 1 species